GUCAAGCAGACCGGGACGGUUUCAGUGCAGUGGAAGCAAAUUACAUUUCUCGCUAUAUAGUUGCCGGGUAUUGUGUGGUCUGACCGAUAACGAGGCAAAAUGAAGAAAGUGAUGGCUACAGCUAACAUCGCGAUGCGUAGCUAGUGGAAUAUUAUGAGAUCGGCCUUUCUUUGAUCCAGGCAUGCAGUUCGGUGUGGCAUUUUUGAUGAUCCUGUUGAGUUGGUGGUGUGGUAGCAACAAUGGUGUGCUAAGCAGCGGGAUGACCGGCAAGGCGCCGGUGGUUUUCCCCUAUUUCUGUCCGGACAGGCUGGAUAGUUAUGCUGACGCCGUGGGAUACACUGCUACACAACCAUCCACACCAACAGAACAGUAGGGUAAUUAGGCUAAGUUCAACAAUAAAAAUGUAAGUACU